UGCCUAUGUUCUACAAAGUAACCACAUCAGUUAUACAAAGAAUGGAACUUAACAGAAAAAACUACAUGAACCAGUUGAAAGUUGUGAAUCCACCUUGUCAAUGUCAUGAUACACAAUCUGAACUUUCGGUUGAGCCAUCAACUCCUCAUACAGUCAUACGGAAUCAAAAAGUCAGGCCACUCGGGAAAUAACUGGAAUCGAUUGUAUCCAACAUUUUCCACAAAGAUGCCAUCCAAGGAUCCAGGGCAGCUUCAUAUCUAUCCACAUAAA
rnacentral:lncRNA from 1 species